AUAGAUUUGUCCUGGCUCAGGAUGACGCUAGCGAUAGGCUUAACACAUGCAAGUCGAGGGGCAGCAUGGUCUUAGCUUGCUAAGACUGAUGGCGACCGGCGCACGGGUGCGUAACGCGUAUGCAACUUGCCUCACAGAGGGGGAUAACCCGUCGAAAGACGGACUAAUACCGCGUACACUCUAUGUUGGGCAUCCAAUGUAGAGGAAAUGAACUUCGCUGUGAGAUAGGCAUGCGUCCCAUUAGCUAGUUGGUGAGGUAACGGCUCACCAAGGCGACGAUGGGUAGGGGAACUGAGAGGUUGAACCCCCACACUGGUACUGAGACACGGACCAGACUCCUACGGGAGGCAGCAAUCGAAUUCCCGCUGCCACA
rnacentral:rRNA from 1 species